rnacentral:tRNA from 1 species
GCCCUUUUAGUAUAUAUAGUAUAUUUAACUUCCAAUUAAAUGGAUCAUAAUAAUGAAAAGGGUA